GAGGGUAUAGCUCAAGUGGUAGGGCACAUGCUUAGCGUGCACGAGGCCCUGGGUUCAAUCCUCAGGACCUCCA
rnacentral:tRNA from 1 species